ACAGGAAGACGAGCCUCACUGCCAGAGACAAGGACGAGUGGACUCGGGUCGGCUGAGACGUCAGACCCCAGGUCUGUGCGUGACUCGCUUUGCGCAGACCAUGGCCCACUGCACGGCUCUUUCUCCGCCCGGGCCCUGGGCCCCGGCUGCCGCCCCUCGUGCUGAGUAGUUGGUCGUAGUUGGUCAUCGGCUGAGCCGAGUUUCCAGAGCUGCCCAGCCCCCGAGGUUACCUGGGCGCCCACCUGGUGCAGCUCCCACGAGCACCACCCCCAGUGAGGGGCCACCUGGACGCUGCACUCUGGGAAACAGGUCAGACACCCUCGGCCGGAGCCCUGCCAGUCGUUUCUCCAGAGAUUCCUGCCGGCCCUCCCCUGAGGCAGAGCCGCCUGAUCCAGUCAAGGCCCAGCAGCGUUUCUGCCUUGCUAUGCCGUCACUGCUCCCUGCGACUUCCUUCCAGAGAAUCAGUCCCACCAGGAAGGAGCUGGCGCAGUUACCCCUCAGGAAACUAUUUGAAGACCUUCCUCAGGGUUAAAGACCCGGUGAUUGGUCAGGGGGGCUCUGGGCCGAGCUUUUUCCUGAGAACAACACUUCCGACACAGACUCCGCUCUGGGAAGCUGCGAUGCCUCAGACAUAGGUGCUGUCUGUGUCCUAGCAGAGCCCCCCAGAGGGUGACCUGGGGCAGCAGGGACAGCCCCCCACACCCAGCCAGCCCAGCGCGCGCCUCUCCCGGGCCCGCACUGACUUUGGAGGUGAACUCUGCAAGUCUCUGCCACGUACACCUUCGUGCCUGGGCGGCUGUCUCCCGCACACUCCUUCUCCACCCCGGCCCACAGCCCGGCUGUGUGUGGGCCAGGGACUCUCGGAAGGGGAGGUCCCACCCCAUACCGCAGCACGGACCAGCAGGCUGGGAGCCAGGAUGGAAGAAAAGGGAAAGAAGGAAGCCUCA